GACAGAGGGUGCAAACGUUGUUCGGAUUUACUGGGCGUAAAGCGCGUGUAGGCGGCUUUGCAAGUCGGAUGUGCAAGCCCACGGCUCAACCGUGGAAGUGCAUCCGAAACUGCAUGGCUGGAGUCUCGGAGAGGAAGGUGGAAUGCUUGGUGUAGAGGUGAAAUUCGUAGAUAUCAAGCAGAACACCUGCGGCGAAGGCGGCCUUCUGGACGAUGACUGACGCUGAGACGCGAAAGCGUGGGGAGCAAACAGG
rnacentral:rRNA from 1 species